rnacentral:lncRNA from 9 species
UAAAGGAGGAGGCCACCGGUGACUUAAGGAGAUGCCUGGGAAGGGGAAGUUGGUUGAGGUGAGGAAAAGUUGAAGAAAGGAGAUCCUAGUGGAACAGCCACUUUCCUCCAGGAGAGGGGAUUCCAGGGCUGAGGACAGAGGUUGUGUCUCUACAUGAUACCCUCAUUCUGCAAAACAGUGUCUUGGGGAAUCUAGUGCACAAAAUAAAAUUCUCAGUAGAUG